UGGUGUCAAACCUAAAAUCAUUAAUUACACAUCCAUUAUAACACACCACUUGCUGGAUAGAACCAUGAGCAAGUGAUAAUAAGUGUUUAUACACUUCUUUACUUUUAGAAUUAUACAAUUAUGUCACCUAUUCAAUUCAAAAAAAAUAAAAAUAUAUUCAAGUCAAUAAUCAGUUAAUAGAAAUAAGAGAUAAAUACACACAU
rnacentral:lncRNA from 1 species